rnacentral:rRNA from 1 species
AUUGAACGCUGGCGGCAGGCCUAACACAUGCAAGUCGAGCGGAUGAAGGGAGCUUGCUCCUGGAUUCAGCGGCGGACGGGUGAGUAAUGCCUAGGAAUCUGCCUGGUAGUGGGGGAUAACGUCCGGAAACGGGCGCUAAUACCGCAUACGUCCUGAGGGAGAAAGUGGGGGAUCUUCGGACCUCACGCUAUCAGAUGAGCCUAGGUCGGAUUAGCUAGUUGGUGGGGUAAAGGCCUACCAAGGCGACGAUCCGUAACUGGUCUGAGAGGAUGAUCAGUCACACUGGAACUGAGACACGGUCCAGACUCCUACGGGAGGCAGCAGUGGGGAAUAUUGGACAAUGGGCGAAAGCCUGAUCCAGCCAUGCCGCGUGUGUGAAGAAGGUCUUCGGAUUGUAAAGCACCUUAAGUUGGGAGGAAGGGCAGUAAGUUAAUACCUUGCUGUUUUGUCGUUACCAACAGAAUAAGCACCGGCUAACUUCGUG